CUUCAUUAUAACAGUAAUCAUUUAUGCAUGAGUUUUAUUUUGAAAUACUUGCACCGAUGGCAUUGAUAUUUUUUACUUAAGUGUACAAUAAACAUAUAUCUAAAUCCAAUAUCAGGUGGGUUCAUUGUUUCAUUAUAACAGUAAUCAUUUUCGCAUGAGUUUUAUUUUGAAAUACUUGCACCGAUGGCAUUGAUAUUUAUUACCUAAGUAUACAAUAAACAUAUAUCUAAAUCCAAUAUCAGGUGGGUUCAUUGUUUCAUUAUAGCAGUAAUCAUUUAUGCAUGAGUUUUAUUUUGAAAUACUUGCACCAAUGGCAUUGAUAUUUUUUACUUAAGUAAACAAUAAACAUAUAUCUAAAUCCAAUAUCAGGUGGGUUCAUUGCUUCAUUAUAACAGUAAUCAUUUAUGCAUGAGUUUUAUUUUGAAAUACUUACACCGAUGGCAUUGAUAUUUUUUACUUAAGUAAACAAUAAACAUAUAUCUAAAUCCAAUAUCAGGUGGGUUCAUUGCUUCAU